ACAGUGACAGAGUUAGGGAGGGAGUGACUAGUGACAGAGAGAGGGAUGGGGUGACUAGUGACAGAGUGAGGGAGGGGGUGACACAGUGACAGAGUUAGGGAGGGAGUGACUAGUGACACUAGUCACUCCCUCCCUCUGUCACUAGUCACUCCCUCCCUCUGUCACUAGUCAUUCCCUCCCUCUGUCACCAGUUAUCCCCUCACUCUGUCACUAGUCAUCUCUUCCCUCCCUCACUUUGCCACUAGU